UAUGGUGAUUAUUGCGAGUGUGUCCACCUCUUCCCAUUCCGAACAGAGCAGUUAAGCCACUCAGCGCCGAUGGUACUACGGUAAUACGCGGGAGAGUAGGUCGUCGCCAGUU
rfam:Reichenbachiella faecimaris strain DSM 26133 genome assembly, contig: Ga0069982_14